rnacentral:rRNA from 1 species
GACGAACGCUGGCGGCGUGCUUAACACAUGCAAGUCGAACGGAAAGGCCCUGCUUUUGUGGGGUGCUCGAGUGGCGAACGGGUGAGUAACACGUGAGUAACCUGCCCUUUACUUUGGGAUAACUUCAGGAAACUGGGGCUAAUACCGGAUAGGAGCUCCUGCUGCAUGGUGGGGUUUGGAAAGUUUCGGCGGUUGUGGAUGGACUCGCGGCUUAUCAGCUUGUUGGUGGGGUAGUGGCUUACCAAGGCUUUGACGGGUAGCCGGCCUGUGAGGGUAACCAGCCACAUUGGGACUGAGAUACGGCCCAGACUGCAACGGGAGGCAGCAGUGGGGAAUAUUGCACAAUGGGCGGAAGCCUGAUGAAGAAACGCGGCGUGCGGGAUGACGGCCUUCGGGUUGUAAACCGCUUUCGCAUGUGACGAAGCGUGAGUGACGGUAAUGGGAAAAGAAGCACCGGCUAACUACGUG